UAGGGAAUAUUGGACAAUGGGCGAGAGCCUGAUCCAGCCAUGCCGCGUGCAGGAAGAAGGCCCUCUGGGUUGUAAACUGCUUUUGACUAGGGCCAAAAUAUCCAUGCGUGGAGAAUUGAGAGUACUAGUAGAAUAAGCACCGGCUAACUCCGUGCCAGCAGCCGCGGUAAUACGGAGGGUGCAAGCGUUGUCCGGAUUUAUUGGGUUUAAAGGGUGCGUAGGUGGCUUUUUAAGUCAGUGGUGAAAGCCU
rnacentral:rRNA from 1 species